rnacentral:lncRNA from 1 species
UUAAUGAGGGGGGGCAAGGGGUUUAACUGUUAUGCUGUUAUGGGGUAUUUUAAUUCUUUGUUAUCUGUUAUUCUGAAAAUAUAUUUACUGUUAGCUGUUAUUGUCUUAUUCUUUGUUAGCUGUUAUAGGACUAUUAUCUAUUUUGUUAUCUGUUAUUGUGAGAAUCUAUUUGCUGUUAACUGUUAUUGAAAAUUGGAAUGUUAGCAUUUUGACAGCCAAUCUUCCUUAGAAAUUGAAGAUAAUUGAAAAUUGUGAUUUAAAUGGAUAAUAGUCUCAUUGGCACGCUUACCACAUCUUCUUACAAUGCAUAUCUAUUGGGGUCUUUCUACUGGUAAUAUCGGGUGGCCCUGUAUUUGCAGAAGAAUUUCAGUAAAAUAC